rnacentral:rRNA from 1 species
GAUCCUGGCUCAGGACGAACGCUGGCGGCGUGCUUAACACAUGCAAGUCGAACGGGGUGUUUAUUUCGGUAAACACCAAGUGGCGAACGGGUGAGUAACGCGUAAGCAAUCUACCUUCAAGAUGGGGACAACACUUCGAAAGGGGUGCUAAUACCGAAUGAAUGUAAGAGUAUCGCAUGAGACACUUACUAAAGGAGGCCUCUGACAUAAGCUUCCGCUUGAAGAUGAGCUUGCGUCUGAUUAGCUAGUUGGUGAGGGUAAAGGCCCACCAAGGCGACGAUCAGUAGCCGGUCUGAGAGGAUGAACGGCCACAUUGGGACUGAGACACGGCCCAGACUCCUACGGGAGGCAGCAGUGGGGAAUCUUCCGCAAUGGGCGAAAGCCUGACGGAGCAACGCCGCGUGAACGAUGAAGGUCUUAGGAUCGUAAAGUUCUGUUGUUAGGGACGAAGGGUAAGAAUCAUAAUAAGGUUUUUAUUUGACGGUACCUAACGAGGAAGCCACGGCUAACUACGUGCCAGCAGCCGCGGU